AGUGAACGCUGGCGGUAGGCCUAACACAUGCAAGUCGAACGGCAGCACAGUAAGAGCUUGCUCUUACGGGUGGCGAGUGGCGGACGGGUGAGGAAUACAUCGGAAUCUACUUUUUCGUGGGGGAUAACGUAGGGAAACUUACGCUAAUACCGCAUACGACCUACGGGUGAAAGCAGGGGAUCUUCGGACCUUGCGCGAUUGAAUGAGCCGAUGUCGGAUUAGCUAGUUGGCGGGGUAAAGGCCCACCAAGGCGACGAUCCGUAGCUGGUCUGAGAGGAUGAUCAGCCACACUGGAACUGAGACACGGAACAGACUCCUACGGGAGGCAGCAGUGGGGAAUAUUGGACAAUGGGCGCAAGCCUGAUCCAGCCAUACCGCGUGGGUGAAGAAGGCCUUCGGGUUGUAAAGCCCUUUUGUUGGGAAAGAAAAGCAGCAGGUUAAUACCCCGCUGUUCUGACGGUACCCAAAGAAUAAGCACCGGCUAACUUCGUG
rnacentral:rRNA from 1 species